GCGAUAUGGCUUGGUCUAAAUGCUAGCCCAUACCUCAGUUGGGUUUUGGGGCUCAUUUUUCGUUAGACCUCUAACAUGAAGUCAAUAAUAAAUAAGCCCUAAAAGCGAGCGCAGAGCCUUGUAAACCAGGCCCAUAGAACUUAGGCGCACCAUUCAAGGCCUCGUUAAUUUGAGAAAAUAUUGUACAAUCCUGUACUAACUA
rnacentral:lncRNA from 1 species